rnacentral:rRNA from 1 species
GAUGAACGCUGGCGGCGUGCCUAAUACAUGCAAGUCGAGCGAACAGACGAGGAGCUUGCUCCUCUGACGUUAGCGGCGGACGGGUGAGUAACACGUGGAUAACCUACCUAUAAGACUGGGAUAACUUCGGGAAACCGGAGCUAAUACCGGAUAAUAUAUUGAACCGCAUUGUUCAAUAGUGAAAGACGGUUUUGCUGUCACUUAUAGCUUGAUCCGCGUCGCAUUAGCUAGUUGGUAAGGUAACGGCUUACCAAGGCAACGAUGCGUAGCCGACCUGGGAGGGUGAUCGGCCACACUGGAACUGAGACACGGUCCAGACUCCUACGGGAGGCAGCAGUAGGGAAUCUUCCGCAAUGGGCGAAAGCCUGACGGAGCAACGCCGCGUGAGUGAUGAAGGUCUUCGGAUCGUAAAACUCUGUUAUUAGGGAAGAACAAAUGUGUAAGUAACUAUGCACGUCUUGACGGUACCUAAUCAGAAAGCCACGGCUAACUACGUG